GUAGGUGGCAAGCGUUGUCCGGAAUUAUUGGGCGUAAAGCGCGCGCAGGUGGUUCUUUAAGUCUGAUGUGAAAGCCCCCGGCUCAACCGGGGAGGGUCAUUGGAAACUGGGGAACUUGAGUGCAGGAGAGGAAAGUGGAAUUCCACGUGUAGCGGUGAAAUGCGUAGAUAUGUGGAGGAACACCAGUGGCGAAGGCGACUCUCUGGCCUGUAACUGACACUGAGGCGCGAAAGCGUGGGGAGCAAACAGGGAUUAGAUACCCUGGUAGUCCACGCCGUAAACGAUGAGUGCUAAGUGUUGGGGGGGUUUCCGCCCCUCAGUGCUGCAGCUAACGCAUUAAGCACUCCGCCUGGGAGUACGGUCGCAAGACUG
rnacentral:rRNA from 1 species